UUUUUAGAGACAUUCAAGAUAACAUCAAUAUCCGAACAAUUGAAAGAAAUUCUUUUGCAGGACUAAGUUCUGAAAGUGUGAUCCUAUGGCUGAAUAAGAAUGGGAUCCAAGAGAUACGGAACCAGGCAUUCAAUGGAACCCAACUGGAUGAGCUGAACCUUAGUGACAAUAUUAACCUGGAAGACUUACCUAAUGACAUUUUCCAAGGAGCCAAUGGACCAGUCAUUCUG